rnacentral:rRNA from 1 species
CCUACGGGAGGCAGCAGUGAGGAAUAUUGGUCAAUGGGCGGACGCCUGAACCAGCCAAGUCGCGUGAGGGAAGACUGCCCUAUGGGUUGUAAACCUCUUUUGUCAGGGAGCAACGCCGGCUACGUGUAGCCGGACUGAGAGUACCUGAAGAAAAAGCAUCGGCUAACUCCGUGCCAGCAGCCGCGGUAAUACGGAGGAUGCGAGCGUUAUCCGGAUUGAUUGGGUUUAAAGGGUGCGUAGGCGGAAUGCCAAGUCAGCGGUAAAAUCGCGGGGCUCAACCUCGCUCCGCCGUUGAAACUGGCGUUCUUGAGUGGGCGAGAAGUAUGCGGAAUGCGUGGUGUAGCGGUGAAAUGCAUAGAUAUCACGCAGAACUCCGAUUGCGAAGGCAGCAUACCGGCGCCCAACUGACGCUGAGGCACGAAAGCGUGGGUAUCGAACAGGAUUAGAUACCCUUGUAGUC